rnacentral:rRNA from 1 species
UGGGGUGUGACUGCGUACCUUUUGUAUAAUGGGUCAGCGACUUAUAUUCUGUAGCAAGGUUAACCGAAUAGGGGAGCCGGAGGGAAACCGAGUCUUAAUUGGGCGUUAAGUUGCAGGGUAUAGACCCGAAACCCGGUGAUCUAGCCAUGGGCAGGUUGAAGGUUGGGUAACACUAACUGGAGGACCGAACCGACUAAUGUUGAAAAAUUAGCGGAUGACCUGUGGCUGGGGGUGAAAGGCCAAUCAAACCGGGAGAUAGCUGGUUCUCCCCGAAAGCUAUUUAGGUAGCGCCUCGUGAAUUCAUCUCCGGGGGUAGAGCACUGUUUCGGCUAGGGGGCCAUCCCGGCUUACCAACCCGAUGCAAACUGCGAAUACCGGAGAAUGUUAUCACGGGAGACACACGGCGGGUGCUAACGUCCGUCGUGAAGAGGGAAACAACCCAGACCGCCAGCUAAGGUCCCAAAGUCAUGGUUAAGUGGGAAACGAUGUGGGAAGGCCCAGACAGCCAGGAUGUUGGCUUAGAAGCAGCCAUCAUUUAAAGAAAGCGUAAUAGCUCACUGGUCGAGUCGGCCUGCGCGGAAGAUGUAACGGGGCUAAACCAUG